GGUGAGGUGCUGGGCUUUGGGAAUGAGGCAUGAGGACUCUGACAGGGUCCUAGAGCCCUCCCUCCUUCUUCCCAAAACCUAGUUAGCGCUUUCUCAGCUUUGGGAAGGAGGUGGGGGGAUUCUUAAGACCUUGCCAAAGCCUCAUGCCUCCUUCCCAAAGCCCAGUGCCUUGCUU